rnacentral:rRNA from 1 species
UACGAAGGGGGCGAGCGUUGUUCGGAAUUACUGGGCGUAAAGGGCGCGUAGGCGGCGACUCAAGUUAGAUGUGAAAGUCCUGGGCUUAACCUGGGGACUGCAUUUGAUACUGGGUUGCUUGAAUUCGGGAGAGGAUAGCGGAAUUCCCAGCGUAGAGGUGAAAUUCGUAGAUAUUGGGAAGAACACCGGUGGCGAAGGCGGCUAUCUGGACCGACAUUGACGCUGAGGCGCGAAAGCGUGGGGAGCAAACAGG